rnacentral:rRNA from 1 species
UACGUAGGUGGCAAGCGUUGUCCGGAUUUACUGGGCGUAAAGAGCGCGCAGGCGGUCGAUCAAGUCGCGUGUGAAAGCCCCGGCUCAACUGGGGAGGUCACGCGAUACUGAUCGACUCGAAGGCAGGAGAGGGUAGUGGAAUUCCCGGUGUAGUGGUGAAAUGCGUAGAUAUCGGAGGAACACCAGUGGCGAAGGCGACUACCUGCCUGUUCUGACGCUGAGGCGCGAAAGCUAGGGAGCAACGG